CCCUCGCUACAUAGUUGUAUAUUCUUCAUUGUGGGUUCUUCUAGUUGUGGUAUGUGGGACGCUGCCUCAGCGUGGUUUGAUGAGCAGUGCCAUGUCCACGCCCAGGAUUCGAACCAACGAAACACUGGGCCGCCUGCAGCGGAGCGCGCGAACUUAACCACUCGGCCACGGGGCCAGCCCCUGUGAUUAGGAAACCAAGCCCAAGAAAAUCUCUCCACCAAGAUUUCACUUUCAUUGCUUAUAGAUUCCAGUGAAUUCCUUUCUACCUGAAGUCCCAAAUACCCUGAGGUUCCCAGCCAGCCAGACUCUCAGGUGUGACCUUGUAUGACCGCAUCAAAAUUGAAGACAAUAAAAUUCUCUGUUGAUGUGCAAUAUAUAAUUUUUUAAAAAAGAUUUGAUACCUGGUGAAAGGAAG
rnacentral:lncRNA from 1 species